UACAGAGGGGGCAAGCGUUGUUCGGAAUUACUGGGCGUAAAGGGCGCGUAGGCGGCCUUCUAAGUCGAACGUGAAAUCCCCGGGCUCAACCCGGGAACUGCGUCCGAUACUGGAAGGCUUGAAUCCGGGAGAGGGAUGCGGAAUUCCAGGUGUAGCGGUGAAAUGCGUAGAUAUCGGGAAGAACAUCGGUGGCGAAAGCGCUCUACUGGACCGCAACUGACACUGAGGGACGAAAGCUAGGGGAGCGAAUGGG
rnacentral:rRNA from 1 species